rnacentral:rRNA from 1 species
ACGGGCCGCAGCAGGCGCGAAAACUUUACAAUGCGGGCAACCGUGAUAAGGGAACCUCGAGUGCCUGUAAAUGCAGGCUGUUCAGGUGCCUAAAACACACCUGAAGAAAGGGCCGGGCAAGACCGGUGCCAGCCGCCGCGGUAAUACCGGCGGCUCGAGUGGUGGCCGCUUUUAUUGGGCUUAAAGCGUUCGUAGCUGGGUUGUUAAGUCUCUUGGGAAAUCUGGCGGCUUAACCGUCAGGCGUCUAAGGGAUACUGGCAAUCUUGGAACCGGGAGAGGUGAGGGGUACUUCGGGGGUAGGAGUGAAAUCCUGUAAUCCUCGAGGGACCACCUGUGGCGAAGGCGCCUCACCAGAACGGCUUCGACAGUGAGGGACGAAAGCUGGGGGAGCAAACCGGAUUAGAUACCCGGGUAGUCCCAGCCGUAAACUAUGCGCGUUAGGUGUAUCGGUGACCACGAGUUACCGAGGUGCCGAAGGGAAACCGUGAAAC